rnacentral:rRNA from 1 species
UACGAAGGGGGCUAGCGUUGUUCGGAGUUACUGGGCGUAAAGGGCGCGUAGGCGGCGCACCAAGUCAGGCGUGAAAGCCCUGGGCUCAACCCGGGAAUUGCGCUUGAGACUGGUGUGCUCGAGUACGGGAGAGGAUAGUGGAAUUCCCAGUGUAGAGGUGAAAUUCGUAGAUAUUGGGAAGAACACCGGUGGCGAAGGCGGCUAUCUGGACAGUAACUGACGCUGAGGCGCGAAAGCGUGGGGAGCAAACAGG